UUGGAGGGCAAGUCUGGUGCCAGCAGCCGCGGUAAUUCCAGCUCCAAUAGCGUAUAUUAAAGUUGUUGCAGUUAAAAAGCUCGUAGUUGAAUUUCGGGAUUGACGUGAUGGUCAUGCCUUAAGGGGUAUGAACUGUCACUGUUGAUUUCUCACCUUCUGGAGAAACUUGAUGUCCUUUAUUGGGUGUCUUGCGGAUCCAGGACCUUUACCUUGAAAAAAUUAGAGUGUUUAAAGCAGGCAUUUUUGCUCGAAUACAUUAGCAUGGAAUAAUAGAAUAGGACGGCAUGGUUCUAUUUUGUUGGUUUCUAGGAUCACCGUAAUGAUUAAUAGGGAUAGUUGGGGGCAUUAGUAUUCAAUUGUCAGAGGUGAAAUUCUUGGAUUUAUUGAAGACUAACUACUGCGAAAGCAUUUGCCAAGGAUGUUUUCAUUAAUCGAGAACGAAAGUUAGGGGAUCGAAGACGAUCAGAUACCGUCGUAGUCUUAACCAUAAACUAUGCCGACUAGGAAUCAGACGAUGUUAAUUUUUUAAUGACUCGUUUGGCACCUUACGGGAAACCAAAGUGUUUGGGUUC
rnacentral:rRNA from 1 species